UGUGGUGCAGUUGUUAGUACGACUGCCUGCCACGCAGAAGGUUCCAGGUUCAAUUUCCGGUUACAA